rnacentral:misc_RNA from 1 species
UACGGAGGGGGCUAGCGUUGUUCGGAAUUACUGGGCGUAAAGAGCACGUAGGCGGUUGGGUAAGCCUCUUGGGAAAUCUCCCGGCCCAACCCGGAAAGCGCAGAGGGUACUGCCAGGCUAGAGGACGGGAGAGGAGCGCGGAAUUCCCGGUGUAGCGGUGAAAUGCGUAGAGAUCGGGAGGAAGGCCGGUGGCGAAGGCGGCGCUCUGGAACGUACCUGACGCUGAGACACGAAAGCGUGGGGAGCAAACAGG